CAAUUUUUAUUAAACUUUGCGCACUCACACUCACAUUUCACAAUGUAAUUCAUAGAUAAAAUAAAGAUUAACUCAUUAAAUAAAAAUAAUGGUUGGUAAACAUUUCAAGAUUUGGUUGAAGACGAUUUUAAAUGAUGAAAAAGUUAGAUGAUGGCGGAAUCAGCAAUUCAAGACUCAGUGAUCCGACACUAGGCCAGAUGUUGCUGAAGACCCGAGCUGUGAUAUGACAAAGGGGGUGUUUUCAAUGGUCCAAGCACAAACUUGAGUCUUCAGCUGGCUUUUUAAAUUUAAAAGAACCCGUGUUCUUAUCAAAAUCAAAAAGAGAACAGACAAGGUAAAAAUUUGAGAGACAAAAAAAGAAUAGCCAAUGAUGGUCAUGCUAUUAAGAGACUAAAAUGGAAAUGGGCUGGACACCUGAUGAUAGGAAAUUCUGGAGAUGGAAGAGCUAUUUAACUACGCAGAGACCUGAUAAAUGGAGGAAGACUAUCACUACAUGGUACCAAAGAGGUUACAAAAGAAAUAGAGGUAGGCAAAUUAGAAGAUGACAAGAUGAAAUAGUGAAAAUGGCUGGAAGAACCUGGAUUAGACUAUCUGCAAAUAAAGAAGAGUGGAGAAGAAUAGGAGAGGCUUUUGCCCAGAGGCACACAGACAAUAAAGUAUUUAGAUAAGUACUAGAUAAGAUUCAUGAAUAAGGAUUCAUUUUUGUCUGCUAUUAUUAUUAUGUUCUUAUCAUACUCCGUACGACCACACAUUGUUAAAUUAAAUUAUUGCUAAAACUAUGAUGCUCCAUUUUGGUUUAAGAGGAUUCUCAGGCGAAGCAAAUAUGCAAUUUCUCUUCAUUAUAGAUGAACACGCAGCAUUGUUAAAAUGGUUAAUUUUGUAGUUUUUGUUUUAAAAAAAAUUAUUUGAGUUUAUUUUUUCAAAUAUUCUAGCAAAUUAAAUUCCCUCCAAAUCCAUAUACAAAGACGUAAAUUUUAUUUCAAAUUAAUUAUCCAGUAUGGAGCUAGCUCGACGUAAAAAAUUAAAAUAGAGUCACUUUUAGAAUUUAUUUUCACAAUGAAAAAAUACUGUUAAUUGAAAAAUCCUGUUUUAGUGUUUUCUCCAAAUUAUCUAGUUUUAAAAAAAAAAGUUUUUUUCCCAUAUUAUGUAGUACUUCAUAUUACAAUUUUCGUGUAAUGUAGAUACCAGCUUAUCGGUGGGUUGGUUUGGUAUGUCGGAAGUAGCAACAGUUAAUCCGUUAUCCUCAUAGAGCCAGUACGGGCACCUUGGUUCUUGCAUUGAUGUGACGCGCCCGCCUGUGACGUCAGCGGCGUGUGGCUUGCGUCAUCCGGCUACUUACAGGCACCACUUUCCUCACAUAAUUCCCUCUGACAAGAAAACUUAUUAGAUGUUACCUUUGCUAAACUGUUUACCUCGUGCCUUGUUCAAUGAACUUGCGUCAGUAUAAUUACAUCAUAAUAUUAAUGAAAAACGUUCCAAGCCAUAAACAUGACAUUUUAAGGAAUUCAUGUUAUAAGUUUAAUAAAUAUUAGUGUAUUCCAUACAUGUGGGUUAGGCUACAAGUCAUGAUGUCAUUUAAAGAGUGACAGUAGGGCUACCAUUUUUUGUCAGUCCGUUAAUAUCAAUCAUCUGACCAGUUUUGUGUUUUUAAUUCAAUUUCAACAUGAUUGUAGUUUGGAACGUUUUUUGGAACUGGAAUUACGUCCAUUUAUGUUACAGUAAGAAUUUUCAAUUAGUUUUUAUAGUUAUAGUAAUAAUGAAGACUUACACGAUACAACGUGAGUAAUUAAAAAGUAAUAAUAUAGUACAAUUCUUUCCUUAGUACAUUUGUACUAAUUUGUGAUAAUUUUAUCGAGAGUUGUUAAUGUUAAACACUUUUAUAUAAGUAUUAUAAAUAACUCGCAUCUUGUAUUGUAUAAAGUUAUUAGGAUGAUCACAGUUGAUGAUAGUAAGAUGUUAAUAAUUUAUUAUGUAAUUAAAUUUCCUGCUAAUCAA